AAACUUUUUUCAGUUGGUGUAAUGGUUGUUCUAAUCCAUUUACAAUAGCAUAUAUCAAAAUUCCAUGAUUUUUAUGUGUUCAUAUAAUUCAUGAAAUUUUGAUGAUCAUGUUCAUGUUCUUAUGAAUUUAGAAGAUGAUAGGAAUUAUUUGCUGAAUUGUUUAGAAUUAAUUCUUGAUCAUUUAUGUGUUUUAAUGGAGUCCAUAAUUUGUCCUCAAGUUAUGGAUAUCCAAAGGUCACUUUCUUUAACACACACAUUUAAACACAUAAGUUACAUGAAAAUGAAGAGUCUUCAUUUUUAUGAACCUUUAAUUCAUAAGUUAUGAAAUGAAAAGUUUUGGAUAGUUACAAAACUUGCCCUCAAGUUUUGGAAUUUGUAAAGUUUCACACACUUUAAUAAACUUUAAUUCCAACCCUUAGAGUUUUAAUAGUUAAAAUUCAACCCUUAUACUAUUUAUAACAUUAAUGGUUAAUUAUUAUAUAUAUAUGUAUAAGAAUAAGUCGUUCUACCGUUAGUAGGCCUCAUUCACGAAGCCGGUCUAUAAGGUGGGUAUAAGGUUGUUGCCUAUAAAAUGGCGACUUAAUGGGUGUCCACUCUCACCCACCGCUUGCUUGACUGGUGGAGGGUCGUUAGCCGAACGGGUAGGACAAUGACUUUAAAUCCUCAUUAAAAGUAUAAUGAUUAUUAUAAACUAACUAAACCUCUUUAAUUCCCAAUCUUAGUUAUUUUAGGAAAAAUGUGAACAUGGUGCUAGUCCAUGGAAUUCACACUUUGUACCUUACCAAGUCGUUGGUGGAGCGUGUGUGGUUAACCGGCACACUAACUUGGACUAGUAAGGAUCACGAAGGGUGACUUAAUGUUUGUCAUAGAUCAAUGGAGCGUGUGUGGUUAACCGGCACAUUGAUUAGGUGAUAAUAUUAAGGGUACCAAGUGAAUUGGUAUGGUUAUUCACACCUUGUUUUGUGAUCCUCGGCAUCCCAGUCACAAAAUUUGAGAGGGCACACUCGAGAUUGAAACAUGCCAUUGAAAAGUUCAAUGAAUCUCAAAAGAUCUAGGAAUUUCAAAUCCAAUUAAAACCUAAUAAAUUAUUUCGUUUUUCAUGGUGGAAAUUGGUGAAUCGUCAUUCGCCUACCUUCAAAUAUUUUAUAGCUUGGAUUACGGCAUCCCUCUUCCAAAUUAUAAAAUAUUGUGUUGGGUCCUAGCCUUAAUAUUUCAUAUUGGGUGUUAUAUUAAGGACUUUGAAUCAACUAACUUGAUUUUCUCCCAUUAUAGAUGUCUGGUUCAGACAACUAUGAUCUUCCCAAAUCUCUUGAAGAUGGUGUCCCUCAACAUCAUGCUUCACUUCCUCCACCUCCUCCAAUUAUUCUCCCUCACCCACAAGUUCUUGAAAAGUUUAAAGUCACUCAAUCCCUAUUGGCAAGCAUAGUCUAUGUGUGCUCACAUCUUGGAGAUAAAGUCACAUAUUGACAAGCCGGGAGAGUUGGGUGUCAAAGUCUCGUGAAAGUUGGAUGUUCAAUCACUUUCUUAGUAACAUAGUGAGUCUCUUUGGGACUACUAUGAGACAGACUAUGACAUGACCCUUAAUGAUGUUAUCUAUUUGCUUGGUGUUGUGGAAUCAGCAAUGAUUUGGAACACCAGUAAAGCAAAUUUGAUUAAAAGAACAACUUCCCAAGUCUUAAAUGGACAUUGACAAUGGUAGCAUUGGAUAUCUAGAAAAGGAUUUCUCUUCCCAAUGGAAAGGGAUCGGCCAUAGUCAACUCGGUUGACCAAAUGGUAAAGAGAAAGGCUAAGUCUGAGAUAGUCUCAUGUGCCAUUACCAAAGGGUCCAUGUGUUUUGUUGCCAAAGGAAGGGGCAUUGGUUGCGAAGCUGCCCUAUUCACCUGAAAGGUCAUAAGGUUGAUCAAGUCAAGAGGUUUGACUCUACUUCGGGUAAAGUCCACUGUCUAACUCUAUUAAGUUCCUAUUUGGAGAUUCUUAUUACAUAAUGUGAAUGGGUCACAUGCUGAUGUUUUUAAGAAUCAAAGAAAAGAUAGGAAGCUUAAAGUAAGUAUAUGUUGAUUCUGAUUGCGAAGGUGGGUUUCGAUCGCAUGGUUCGGUAAUCAGAAUUUUGAGCUGUUGCUUAAGAGUUAUAAUAUAUUGCUUAUGAAUAGAUAACAACAAGGUUUUCAUGUGGAUUGUAAGGAUAAGUUUUUCCGCAAAGUUUUAAAAAAAAAAAAAAAAAGGGUUUUAAUUUUAUUUAUUUUAAAAAUAUCCUUACAAUGGCAUCUGUGGAAAAUUGUUGCUUAUAUGUUUCCAGUAAUAGCAAUAUUGGAAAGUGGAUUUGAUUCUUUCAUUUGUGGUAGUGUCUGAAUUUACCAAAUGAAGAAAGUUUUUCAUCACCCAAGUUUCAAUUGGACAGAAACUUGGAAUCAUACAAGUUGUAUUGUAUGAUGAAUGAGAAUUUUCAUCUUUGAAAAUUAAGACUAAUUCUUUGAUCACAUGUAUAUGUGAGUCAAUUGAAGGACUAAGGAAUUAGGUACACUGGGUGUGCGCUGGUCAAGGUCCACCACAAAGAUUGAUUUGUCAUGAUUUACUAAAGAUUAGUAAAUAUGAUUAUACUUAUGAGGUUAAGUAUAAUUCUGUAACAUUGGAAAGGUUACAAUGUAUGACAAAACAAAUGAGAAGAAUCAAAUUAGGCAGAAAGAUAAAAGUUUCUCAAAUCUGAAAGGAUGGGAGAGUACUUUAGUAUCGUAUUUCAUGAUCAUCUUAAUGAUUAUGAAACCAUAUCACAAAUUCAUACUCUAAGGACGUCUUAGUGCAUUGUUAUGGCUAAGAAGAGAGGUCAUGAAUUGUUGGAUUGGUUAAAAUCAAGAAGAUGAGUCAUACUUCGUUCCAAAACAAUUCUUAGAGUCAUACUCCAAGAUUGUAACUUUGAGUGACAUAAAGGAAGAUUUAUUAACACUAGUCAAAUGUAAGAGUAAAAUGUUUUCUACUCUUGUACAUUUGAGAUUGGUAAGUUGUGAUGUCUUGGAUGAGACAAAGACCAACUAAGACCAAUUGUGUGAAGUGUUAGUCUUGAUAAGAAUCCGCACUAUCCCUUGAAUAUUUGUUUUGUCAAGGAAUGGUUCUUGACUGGGGAAACUUAUAUGUCAAGGGGACAGUGGGAGCCUUAAAGAUCCUGAAAGAGUUUCAAGAUUUAAUCAAGAGUAAAACCUGUAAUUUAUCACUAGCACACGACUUAAGGUUUGCAACCUAUCGUGUUGACAUAAUUCUUAUUUCUGUACCUACUUCAAAUAAGUUGAAUUUGCAUGUGAGUUAUCAGAGUUCAACUUGGAAGCAUUGGUGGGCCUUGUGCUACCAAGGUGACAAGAAACUAAGAUUGAACAAGUUUAAUCCAUGUAAGGCUGAAUUUGUCACUAACCUUAUCUUGUGAUUAUGGUUUUGACAAAUUCACAUGGAUAGGAACUCAUACACUAUAAAAUCUAAGUGUCAUAAGGUUUCUCUCCGAUUCAUGAAAAUGAUGGUGAGGAAACGCUUUCACUAAGUAGAUUUUACGUAGAUAUCAAUUGUGUUAUUUGCAUUUUCAAAAGUCGUUAGUGGAGCGCGUGUGGUUAACCGGCACACUAACAUGGACUUGUGAGAAAUGGCAAAUGCCUAAGCAAUUGAGACUAUGAUUACGGCAUCCCUUUUCAUAGUUCUGAAAAUUGUUUAGACACACAUGUGAGCUAUCUAAGAAAGGGUGUAUGAAUCUAAAUUUCAGAAGUCCAGCAGAUUUCUGGAAAUAUGUCAGAGCUAGUGGGAGCAUAAGUGUUAUGCUGAUAAUCAUCAUGUUAGUGGGAGCAUGAUUAUUACGUUUAGUGUUGCAAGUUAGCAAUGUUAAUUAUAGAAAACAAAGUUUCAAUUCGUGAAGUUGCAGGGGUUGAAAAGUUGUUUUGCUAUAAUUAAGGGAGAGGAAAUUAUACUUCAUUUCAAUUCUAAAGCUUAGAUUGAGAUUUUAAUCAUCUUUAGUCAAGAAUAUAUAUAUGAAUUUUAUGUUGGAAUGGUUCAACUUGAAGAAAUUCUAUAUAUAUUGCGUUUUCAAAAUUCGAUUAUGAUUACGGCAUCCCUCUUCAUAGUUAAAUUUUGAAAACAUGGCAAAUAAAAAAUAUUGUAGCAAAAGACUGGUCUAGUAUCAUGUCUUUAUGUCAAACAUCAUGAAUCGUGUCCCAUAUGCUUCGGAUAUAGGAUCGAUUGCAUGUGCUAUAAUAUUCAUCUUUUCUAAAUUUUCCAAAUGCUUAAGGCAUUGAGAAGGGAAAAGUCUAGAACUGGAUAUGACUAAAGUGAUUAAGCAAUUGUCGAGGACAAUCUGAGGUUCGCCAAAGAUUGGUUGCUCAGGGAAAGUUGGAAGUAUGAUGUAAGUUGUCGGAAAGGACCAUAUUGACAUAUUCUGAAAAGAAGUAACUCUUGUUCGGAAGUGAUAGUCAAAAUGGGACUAUGGAAAUGUCUCCAUAGGUGGAAGUUAUUCAAUCUAUGUAAGAUUAGAAAACCUUAAUGCAAGAAGGAUGUUCAAAGCAAUGUACUUUGAAUAUGAGACUUCCGUUCCAUAGAAGUUGACCUUCUUUGGAAUACUCUGUAAUGACUGGUGACAAGGUUUUGGUGACUUUGUGCAUAAUCAUUACAAGAGGAACAUUGCAUAAAAGUUUAAAAUCUAACAGAUUUUUUGGUAAAUGAUAGGAAUCGGGGAUUCUCACAUUUACAAUAAGGAUUUGGGAUUGUGAAAUGAGUAUCAUUGGAAUCAUGUUCAAUUGAUCUACAUCACAAUGUAAGGAUCAUAGACAAACAUAGUGUGCAUACUUGGAGUAUGGCAUAACUAUUGUUUAGAAAAACAAAGUGUACAUGCUAGGAGCAUGGGACGACUGUUGUUUUUAUUCAAGUCUUAAGUUGAUUGUUUGAAACAUUAUACAAUGAAUAAUGUGUAAUCAAUAUGGUGAUAAAUAAAAGGUGGUUCUAUUUAUAUUCAAAAGGGUUCUGAGACCAUAUUGGAUUCGAUUAUUAUUGUGUUUCACUUUGCAUGUUUUGACUUCCAAAAUAGCUAGGUUAUUCUUUCCGAAUGACUAAGUUAUUUAAACACUCCACAGUCGUUCAUAUGUUGGAAGUAGGUAUGAAUCAAGACUGUCAUGAAUCGAGUUUGUAGAUGGCUAAAUGGGUUUAGUCAUAGCAAUGGUUGCUACAACAUUCAUGAGUGCUCAUAAGUUAUGAGUAUUGGAAUAAACCCACGCUCACUUGUAUCACUUCAUGGAAUUUAUCUCGAGUGAUCGUGAGACGGUAAUAUCAUAUAAAUCUUCAAACCUAGAGAUAUGAGUUGUUACCUAUGAGUUGGUUGUGCAUUGAUUGCACGUAAACGCAUCAGUAACUUGAUGUUAUAAAACGUGCCUUUGUGUACAAUUCAACAAGUAGUAGAACAAGCAUAUGAGUCGAAGUUUAUCUGUUCCUUCUAGAAAUAGAAGCGAUAUCUGGGCCCCUCGAUGAUUUUGUUGUGACCUAUGUACCGGCCGGUCAGAACUAAAUUGAUGUGUUCGAUUAAGUUCUUUGUCAAACAAAUCGAAAAUCGGGAAACAAACUGCUGGACAAUAAGUACGACGUUGUUCCAUGUAUUUGUCCGGCUGAUAUCAUGAGAACAGAGGAUUAUAUGAUCACUUAUCUAAAAUGGCGCUUCAUAGUUCAACAGAGUUUUCGAGAGCUACGAUUGCUGGUUGGUUCCUGAAGUAACAUACGCAAAUAUAGUUAUUAGACUUAUCCAAGUGGGAGUCUGUUGGAUAAGGUGUCUAAGUCCAUAACUUAUUUGGUAUAUACUUGACCCGACCCGGCAUGGUCCAUUUGGGUUGCAUCUCACCCGAACUAUUUAUGGAUAAUUUUAUGAGAGUUAUACACAUAUGUUUAUUAAUAUAUUAUAAGUUAUAAUAUAUUAAUAUGAAGUUAUGUUAUUUAAUUAGUCUUAGUCUUAAAUUAAUUAUGAAUUAAUUUAGAGAUUAAAAGGAAGACUAAUUAGAUUAUGGGCUAUUGGUUUUAUAUGGUGUGGGCUAACACUCAUUUGUUAAUGGGCUAGGCUUAUAUGGAAGUCCAUGGAUGAUCCAUGGAGCUUUUAACCCAUGGAUCCUUGGAAAAGGAAAGGUCAUGGGUUAUUAGGGUUUCACCCUAACCAUGCACACUAUAUAAGCAUGCUUAUGGAGCAUGAAAUGGCAACUAGUGAACUAGUGUGUGUGUGCUUGUGUGUGGCCAAAAAUACAAGUGUGUAUACUCUCUCAAAGUUUUCCAAGAGUUUGUGGUGUUUUGUGAUUCCAUUUGAGGCAUUCACACUAUUGGUGCUUGGCCCUCAAACUCCUUAAGAACCAAACUCAUCAAAAAGGUAUGUAAUCUCUUCUAACUCUUUUAUGUUGAAAUGUUCCCCAUGCCAUGUUAGAUAGGUUAUGAACCUUGGAAAAUUAUUAUUUUGCAUGUAUUUAGACAAACAUAGAUCCAAGGUUUAUUAGGGUUGCAUGCACACUUAGGAAGUGUUAGAUUGCUCAAAACCCAACAGUGGUAUCAGAGCCUAGGCUUGCUUGUUUGAUACUUGAUGCAAAAUAGUGAAAAAAGUUGAAAUUGUUGCUGUCUGGCUGAUGGACUCGCCGAGUCCAUGGGGGGACUCGCCGAGUUCAAGGCAAAAUUCAUCCUACUCGGCGAGUAGGUUCGUGCACUCGGCGAGUAGAAUGAUCAGAAUGCAGAAUUUCGACUUUUGCUGCUGGAAAUGGACUAGAAACAUUACCCUAAACUGUUUUGGUGUUUUAAAACUUGUUUUAGUUGGUGUAAUGGUUGUUCUAAUCCAUUUACAAUAGCAUAUAUCAAAAUUCCAUGAUUUUUAUGUGUUCAUAUAAUUCUUGAAAUUUUGAUGAUCAUGUUCAUGUUCUUAUGAAUUUAGAAGAUGAUAGGAAUUAUUUGCUGAAUUGUUUAGAAUUAAUUCUUGAUCAUUUAUGUGUUUUAAUGGAGUCCAUAAUUUGUCCUCAAGUUAUGGAUAUCCAAAGGUCACUUUUCUUUAACACACACAUUUAAACACAUAAGUUACAUGAAAAUGAAGAGUCUUCAUUUUUAUGAACCUUUAAUUCAUAAGUUAUGAAAUGAAAAGUUUUGGAUAGUUACAAAACUUGCCCUCAAGUUUUGGAAUUUGAAAAGUUUCACACACUUUAAUAAACUUUAAUUCCAACACUUAGAGUUUUAAAAGUUAAAAUUCAACACUUAUACUAUUUAUAACAUUAAUGGUUAAUUAUUAUAUAUAUGUAUAAGAACAAGUCGUUUUACCGUUAGUAGGCCUCAUUCACGAAGCCGGUCUAUAAGGUGGGUAUAAGGUUGUUGCCUAUAAAAUGGCGACUUAAUGGGUGUCCACUCUCACCCACCGCUUGCUUGAUCGGUGGAGGGUCGUUAGCCGAACGGGUAGGACAAUGACU
rnacentral:lncRNA from 1 species